AUUGAACGCUGGCGGCAGGCCUAACACAUGCAAGUCGAGCGGAGCGGCGGACGGGUGAGUAAUGCCUAGGAAUCUGCCUGGUAGUGGGGGAUAACUACUGGAAACGGUAGCUAAUACCGCAUACCAUCAGAUGAACCCAUAUGGGAUUAGCUUGUAGGUGAGGUAACGGCUCACCUAGGCGACGAUCCCUAGCUGGUCUGAGAGGAUGAUCAGCCACACUGGGACUGAGACACGGCCCAGACUCCUACGGGAGGCAGCAGUGGGGAAUAUUGCACAAUGGGCGCAAGCCUGAUGCAGCCAUGCCGCGUGUAUGAAGAAGGUCUUCGGAUUGUAAAGCACUUUAAGUUGGGAGGCGUUACCAACAGAAUAAGCACCGGCUAACUUCGUGCCAGCAGCCGCGGUAAUUC
rnacentral:rRNA from 1 species